UUCAUGCAACAAGGGAUGUUGCAUGUUAAACUGCUGUAGACGCAUGCUUUAGACACACAGCUGUCCCUGAAGACUCUCCUGCCUCACAUCAGAAGUACAGGUGUCCAGUCUACUGUGUCCUCUGCGGAUCCUCUCUCUUUCUCAGCAACCCCAGUAAAGAGAUCUCAUUUGGACCUGGAGGAGAAGUAAGGUGUUUCAAAGAAACUGGAGAGAUACGAUGAAAGACUGUGAGCACUCUAGAAAUGGAUGAGAAGCAUACAGAACUGCAUAUACCAGACCACAGCUACCUCAACCACUGGACCAGAGAGAGCAGCAAAGUGGACCUCAACACUGAACCAUGUGCAAGAUAUCCACACACAAGAAGAUCCUCUGUACACUCUGUGCAAGCACCAAGCGGCAACCUCCGGCCUCAAAAUAUGAAGCCCAUGCAAAAGUGUUAUAAACUGCAGUUUAUCGAGCGUCCGCUUCAGGCU